GGUAGUUGGUGAGGUAACGGCCCACCAAGCCGACGAUCGGUAGCCGACCUGAGAGGGUGAUCGGCCACAUUGGGACUGAGACACGGCCCAAACUCCUACGGGAGGCAGCAGUGGGGAAUAUUGGGCAAUGGGGGGAACCCUGACCCAGCAACGCCGCGUGGAGGAAGAAGGUUUUCGGAUCGUAAACUCCUGUCCUUGGAGACGAGUAGAAGACGGUAUCCAAGGAGGAAGCCCCGGCUAACUACGUGCCAGCAGCCGCGGUAAUACGUAGGGGGCAAGCGUUGUCCGGAAUAAUUGGGCGUAAAGGGCGCGUAGGCGGCUCGGUAAGUCUGGAGUGAAAGUCCUGCUUUUAAGGUGGGAAUUGCUUUGGAUACUGUCGGGCUUGAGUGCAGG
rnacentral:rRNA from 1 species